UACAGAGACUGCAAGCGUUGUUCGGAUUCAUUGGGCGUAAAGGGUCCGUAGGCGGUUCGGUAAGUCGGAUGUGAAAUUUCGAGGCCUAACCUCGAGUGGUCAUUCGAAACUGCCGGGCUUGAGGACUGGAGAGGAGACUGGAAUGGUCGGUGUAGCGGUGAAAUGCGUAGAGAUCGACCAGAACACCGGUGGCGAAGGCGGGUCUCUGGACAGUUCCUGACGCUCAGGGACGAAAGCUAGGGGAGCAAACGGG
rnacentral:rRNA from 1 species